CAGUUUCGAAUUUAAGUUGAAAUUCAAAACUUAAAUUAAAAUUUAAUAAGUUUACAUGUAUUUAUGAUAUUCAAAACAUUUAUGACAUAUUUAUUCAAAACAUUAUUAUCAUCCAAGAUCCUCCACCGCCUUAUGCCACCGUCCGCUCAUAUUUCAUUUUUCCAUCUCCUUAUCUACCGGAACUCCGGCUGAUUGUGCGUCUUUGGGAGUCUCCUCACUUCUCUUUUCUUCAGUUCCUGAAUUGCCGUGGGUCAUUUGAGUUAGAGUAGAAGUUUUGCAAGGAAAAAAAAGAUUGUAGUUGUUUUGACAGUGUGGUUGGAGAUGUGUACUGUUGUUUGUUGGUUUUGGCUUUUGUUGGCAUACAUUUGUGCUUUACAGAGUCGUAGGUCAAGAGUUAGAUCUUAUAAGAAGAGAAGGAUCAAUGUCGUGGGUGAAUCGACUUCAAUUGAUGAAGCAAUUAUGAAUGCUGCCAUGCUAUUGUGUGAGAAAAUAAGCGAGGUUGGAAUGCAAUUGAUCUAGGCUUUUGGGACUGAAGUGAUCCUGCAUCAAAGGUUUCAAGAGUUACAUGCUGCAUUAGGUGAGAUUGAAGGUUUACAGAGGAUGAAAGGGAUAUUGCAGGCAUCAAAUUUGCUGAUCGUCCAGUUCAAAUGCUUCUGUUUUUCAGUCUUCAGCCUAGCCGCAGACUUGGAUUGGUGAGAAGGUUUAUUAACUUCGAUGGGUGAGAAAGUUUAUUGGAAUCUAAAAUGGAGAAUGGUUUUGUUCUUUUGGAUGAUAGAGUUUAUAUGAACCUAAGAUAGAGAAUGGUCUGUUCUUCUAAGACUUUGUUGUUAGCUGGUUUGUUCAUCUUCUGAGACAAUUUAGAUUAAAGUAUUUUCUAAUAGUUGUAGUAGUAGUUGUAGUUAUUUAGAUUAAAGUAUUCCUGUCUUGCUUUUCUGUAAUUCCAGGGUAAUUUAGGUUUAUAUGGUACUUAAAUUAUUGGAUUAAUGGGUUCUUUUAGGUUAGGUUAAGUGAUUUAUGUGGUUUGGUUUUAUUAGCAGCCAGAUGUGUCUUUAUAACAGGAAGAGCGAAACAGUGGUGCUCAUAUUCAGGGACGUAACGACAUUUCACGUUAUCAGUGCAUUAA